UGCAGAUUGCUGUGGAUGGUCCGGAGUCAUAUGUUAUAAUCUCACCAGCCAUGUUCUUGAGCUCUAUCUUAGAAGUCUUUCUAUGGAUGAGUAUUAUGCCUCUAAUGUCAGCAUGCUAAAUAUUUGGAGAGGUCGGCAUUUAGAGGCAUUUCUUUGCCCAUAGAAAGGGAGCUGCUGGAGAGAGAUGAGAAGGAUAGUGCUGGAGCGUCGCGUGAGAAGAGAAUGAAGAAAACGAAGAAGAAAAAAAAAGUGUGAACGUCAAUGUUUUCCUGUUUCUAUAUCCUUGUUUUUGAGCAAUUGAUGUAUGUUUUCUCAUUUCUUUGUUUGUUUCUUUUGUUGUGUCAACGUGAGAAGCUUUUGAUU